GUCGAACACGCCUCUUGUUCCUUCCGAGAUUUUCAUGUCCAUCCUGCCUUCUCAAAUCCAGGGUUCCAAUUCAACGUCUUCUUCCUCUGCUUCCUCUCUAAACCCUAAUUCCCACCAUGGACACGACUCUCUCUUCUCCUUCUCCCCUCCUACCCAUUCCUUUCCAUCCCUACAGAUCUCCGAUCCCAAUUCUCCUCUCCUCGAUUCCUGCAACGUUUCA
rnacentral:misc_RNA from 1 species